UGGGGAAUUUUGGACAAUGGGCGAAAGCCUGAUCCAGCAAUGCCGCGUGUGUGAAGAAGGCCUUCGGGUUGUAAAGCACUUUUGUCCGGAAAGAAAUCCUUGGCUCUAAUACAGUCGGGGGAUGACGGUACCGGAAGAAUAAGCACCGGCUAACUACGUGCCAGCAGCCGCGGUAAUACGUAGGGUGCAAGCGUUAAUCGGAAUUACUGGGCGUAAAGCGUGCGCAGGCGGUUUGCUAAGACCGAUGUGAAAUCCCCGGGCUCAACCUGGGAACUGCAUUGGUGACUGGCAGGCUAGAGUAUGGCAGAGGGGGGUAGAAUUCCACGUGUAGCAGUGAAAUGCGUAGAGAUGUGGAGGAAUACCGAUGGCGAAGGCAGCCCCCCUGGGCCAAUACUGACGCUCAUGCACGAAAGCGUGGGGGAGCAAACAGGAUUAGAUACCCCUGGUAGUCCACGCCCUAAACGAUGUCAACUAGUUGUUGGGGAUUCAUUUCCUAGUAACGUAGCUAACGCGUGAAGUUGACCGCC
rnacentral:rRNA from 1 species